GAUGAACGCUAGCUACAGGCUUAACACAUGCAAGUCGAGGGACCGGCGCACGGGUGAGUAACACGUAUCCAACCUGCCCUUUACUCGGGGAUAGCCUUUCGCAAGAAAGAUUAAUACCCGAUAUAAAGGAUGGGGAUGCGUUCCAUUAGGUUGUUGGGAAGGUAACGGCCCGCCAAGCCUUCGCUGGAUAGGGGUUCUGAUAGGAAGGUCCACCGCAAUGGAACUGCGACCCGGUCCCAACUCCUACGGAGGGCAGCAGUGAGGAAUAUUGGUCAAUGAACGCUAGUCUGAACCAGCCAAGUAGCGUGAGGGGUGAAGGCUUAGGGGUCGUAAACUUCUUUUAUAUAAGAGUAUGUACUAUAUGAAUAAGGAUCGGCUAACUCCGUGCCAGCAGCCGCGGUAAUAC
rnacentral:rRNA from 1 species